GAAAAGUGAUCGAAUAGCCGUCAAAGUCGUUCGACAACAUCCGAGAUUUUGCUCGUAGCAAUCGGAUUCGGGAUCAUUAAAGUCGAAGUCAUCUACACUAUCAAAGCCUCCAUUUUGGUAUAAUUUUGAUUGAACUUUGAAAUGGCAUGUAUAGGACUACCCUAAUGUUGAAGGUCAUGUACCUUUCGGUUUUGUGUAAGCUUGGAUAGCCAUGCGAAAAUGGCUUAUAUACGUUUUUAGUAUGAUUCUAUAAUAGUUUGUAUGAUAAUCAUUAUGGGGUAUGAAA